rnacentral:rRNA from 1 species
GACGAGCGCUGGCGGCGUGCCUAAUACAUGCAAGUCGAACGCAGUGGGGACGGGUGAGUAACACGUGGGUAACCUCCCAUCAGAGGGGAUAACACUUGGAAACAGGUGCUAAACCGAUACUGAUGGAUGAACCCGCGGUGCAUUAGCUAGUGGGGGAGGUAACGGCUCACCAAGGCCACGAUGCAUAGCCGACCUGAGAGGGUGAGCGGCAACACUGGGACUGAGACACGGCCCAGACUCCUACGGGAGGCAGCAGUAGGGAAUCGUCGGCAAUGGACGAAAGUCUGACCGAGCAACGCCGCGUGAGUGAAGAAGGUUUUCGGAUCGUAAAACUCUGUUGUUAGAGAAGCGGUAUUUAAUCAGAAAGCCAGGGAUAAUUACGAGCCAGCAGCCGCGGUAAUUC